CAGCUGUGUAGAUUGGACCAACAAGCAAGUUGUAAGGGGAUGGGGGUGUGCCACUUACCGUGGGACCCCGAUCCCCGGAUGUCCCCUGGAGAGGAGGGGUACGCGUUGGACCGUCCCGCUUCGCCGCUCUCGCCUGCCACGACUUGAUGGAAAUAUGGGGUUCACCCUUGCCGGGAAGCUGGCGGUCCACGUGGGGUACAGUACCUCCAAGGUCCAGGGGUCCUGAGGGCUCCUCCUCCCCUACACCCUCGCCCGGUCCUCCGGGUGGGGAGCCUCCGUUGGGGCUCCCUUGUCUUCGUCUUAGCUCCGCAGUGGGGGGGGUACCCCACACCGCUGGGCCCUCCCCAGGAGUCCUAUCAGCACCUAGUCUCCCCGGUGCUGAUCGCUCCACUCGUCCUGAGGCGUCUCUAACUCAGGGGCUCACUCUCUCGACCCGGGGGAACUACAACUCUGCCCCCCUGCCUGCGGGUCUUCCCCGCGGCCAAGCGGCUCGCAGCCGCCGGAGGAGGGUCCCUCCGACCCAGCCUCCCUUCCCGGCUUCCUCCGGUGCAAUGGCCACCGGUCCCUUUUGUACCUCCGUCCGUUCGGGGCCUGCUGCGCCCCCUGGCUCCGCCGCCUCCGGCCUUGCCGGCUGGUGCUGCGCCGCUCCUGGCUUCGUGGCGGUCGGCCUCACUGCCGCCGGUCCUUGCCGCCCGGCCCCCGGCUUUACCGCACCCGGCCCAGCCGCCUCUGGACCUCCGGCUCCCGGCUUCACCGCCGCCGGCUCCCCGGCACUUGGCCUCACCGCUGCCGGCUCCCGCCGCGUGGCACGCGGCGCGGCUGUACCUGCCUCCGCCGCUCCCGGCUCCGCCGCUCCCGGCCUCGCUGCUCCCGGCUCCGCAGCUCCAGUCCUCGUAGCUCCCGGCUCCGCAGCUCCCGGGGCAGGCUCCCGCCGGAGCCUCCGUCCUCCCCUGCUCAGGGUAGGCGGUUCCUUUUUAUCUCCCCGCGCCGGUCCCGCGUCGGCGCGGUUCCAGUUCCGGGAAACCUUAAGUUCCCCACCCGGCUUCCGGGCCCGGACCCGGAAGCGGGGCGGAACUCCGGGAUUCCCCGCUCGGGC
rnacentral:lncRNA from 1 species